rnacentral:rRNA from 1 species
GCAAGUCUGGUGCCAGCAGCCGCGGUAAUUCCAGCUCCAAUAGCGUAUAUUAAAGUUGUUGCAGUUAAAAAGCUCGUAGUUGAACCUUGGGUCUGGCUGGCCGGUCCGCCUCACCGCGUGUACUGGUCCGGCCGGACCUUUCCUUCUGGGGAAUCGCAUGCCCUUCACUGGGUGUGUCGAGGAUCCAGGACUUUUACUUUGAAAAAAUUAGAGUGUUCAAAGCAGGCCUAUGCUCGAAUACAUUAGCAUGGAAUAAUAGAAUAGGACGUGUGGUUCUAUUUUGUUGGUUUCUAGGACCGCCGUAAUGAUCAAUAGGGAUAGUCGGGGGCAUCAGUAUUCAAUUGUCAGAGGUGAAAUUCUUGGAUUUAUUGAAGACUAACUACUGCGAAAGCAUUUGCCA